AUGGGCAACUGCAAGAGUUCAUCUCGUGCACGCCUAGGAAAGGCCCAUGUCGUUCCGGAUUCAGAAUGGAGGAUGCAGGACUUUGGAAAGACCCAUGUUCCUGAUUUAGAAUGGAGGAUUAAUGACUUCUCAUCGCUGCUUGAGACAGGAGCUAAGUCAGCAAAAUCUGACGCUUUUCACUGCUCUGGGUACCUGCACGUGAGUCCAAUGCAUAAGGAAAUUGGUUCUGAAACGCAAUAUGUUGCUCUUCGUCUUAAGACAUCCGAAGCAAGCAUGGUGCCAGGUCACACGGUGCAUGUGGUUUUUGAGUUGUCAAUAUACAACCAUACAAAAGGAAUGUACUGCGGAUGCAAAGAUACCUACAACUUUCAUUUCAAGAAUACCUACUCGAAGGAGCAAUGCUUGAUUCCUCUUCAGGAGCUACUGAAAUCAUCUGCUUUUCUAGUUGAUCAUAGCUGUGUCUUCGGUGUGGAGAUAUUAAAAAUUGAUGUCUCUUCUCCUGAAAAGAUGGCUGUUGUGGUUCAGAAGAAGGAUACCACAGUUCAGAACCUCUUUGUUCAGAAGAAGGGGUUCGUCAAAAGGACAUACACUUGGAACAUGAACAAUUUCCUUGACCUGGACUUGGAUCACUUUGUUCGCUCUCCUACAUUUGAAGUUGACGGGCAUAAAUGGUACGUCCGCAUCUAUCUGCGUGGUGACAAGUACAGCACUGAUUGCCUCAGCUUGUACUUAUACCUGGAUGCAUCGGAUGAGCUCCAUCUCGAGUCCAAGAAGGUGGUUGUAAUGACUCUGUCCAUCCUGGACCAAAAGAAUGGGAAACACUUGACUGCAACUUCAGGUCUCUUAGUGUUUACGGGUGGAUGCGGCUGGGGAUGGGCUGAUUUCCUUGGACUCAAGAAUCUCAAGGACCCGUCGGGAGGCUAUGUUGUGGGAUCGAGCUGCGUUGUGAAGGCGGAUCUCACUAUCGUUGGUUCAUCCAAUGAUGGUUAG
rnacentral:rRNA from 1 species